UGGGUCGGCUGGACGGUCGCGUCGCGGGAUACCGCGCCGAGGAACGUCCGGGCUCCACAGGGCAGGGCGGUGGGUAACACCCACCCGGAGUGAUCCGCGAGACAGUGCCACAGAGAGCAGACCGCCGCAGCCUCGGCCGCGGUAAGGGUGAAAGGGUGGUGUAAGAGACCACCGGGGUCGUGGUGACACGACCCGCACGGUAAACCUCGCCCGGAGCAAGGCCAGACAGAGGAUGCUGACGCGGCUCGCCGAGUCCUCGGGUAGGCCGCUGGAGCGGCACGGCAACGUGUCGCCGAGAGAGAUGACCGUCCACGGGGCACUCGCCCCCGGACAGAACCCGGCGUACAGGCCGGCCCAUUCG
rfam:Microbacterium ketosireducens strain DSM 12510 RS81_contig000056, whole genome shotgun sequence.